GUCAAUGGCCAUGCCACCCUGAACAAGCCCGAUGUCUGAUCUUGGAAGCUAAGCAGAGUCGGGCCUGGUUGGUACUUGGAUGGGAGACCACCUAGGAAGACCAGGUACUGUGAGCA
rnacentral:rRNA from 1 species